GAUGAACGCUAGCUACAGGCUUAACACAUGCCAGUCGAGGGGAAACGACAUCGAAAGCUUGCUUUUGAUGGGCGUCGACCGGCGCACGGGUGAGUAACGCGUAUCCAACCUGCCCAUCACUUGGGGAUAACCUUGCGAAAGUAAGACUAAUACCCAAUGAUAUCUCUAGAAGACAUCUGAAAGAGAUUAAAGAUUUAUCGGUGAUGGAUGGGGAUGCGUCUGAUUAGCUUGUUGGCGGGGUAACGGCCCACCAAGGCAACGAUCAGUAGGGGUUCUGAGAGGAAGGUCCCCACAUUGGAACUGAGACACGGUCCAAACUCCUACGGGAGGCAGCAGUGAGGAAUAUUGGUCAAUGGGCGAGAGCCUGAACCAGCCAAGUAGCGUGCAGGAAGACGGCCCUAUGGGUUGUAAACUGCUUUUAUAAGGGAAUAAAGUGAGAGUCGUGACUCUUUUCGUAUGUACCUUAUGAAUAAGGACCGGCUAAUUCCGUG
rnacentral:rRNA from 1 species